GUCUUCAGCCUCCGUCUCUUAGGGUUAUUACCAUUAAAAAAAAAGGAAAUUAGAUUAAAUGCAAAAGAACGUCUCUUAUUUAGGGGUUACAAGAGACGGUUUUCUGAAGCACCUGUUGCCCUUUGGGCGUUCAUCUCUUUGAGAGAGAGAGAGAGAGAGAGAGAGAGAGAGAGAGAGAGAGAGAGAGAGAGAGAGAGAGAGUCGAAGCAAUUGCAUGGAUGGCUGAAGGCGGCGAUGAUUCCCAGCAAAUGAAGAAGGGAAGCCAGAGCGCUUCAGGCAGAGGCUACUUCUCUAGACCCUUUCUUCCACGCCUCGUGAUUUCCUGGCCUCCAACGUCACGAGAUGUCUCUCCUCCGCCUCUUCGAGACUGUCUCCGAUGACCGCGUCGUUAAGGUUAACGAGACAGGGACACGAUUGAAGUACAAGCCUUGGUUCACAAUUGCUCGCUUUGUGAUCAGGACAGAAAUUUUGUCGUGAGGAGGUGAAUUCAGAUUAGUUGCUGGCUUUGAAGAUUGUUAAUUUUGUUUUGUUUAGCACAAGUAUUGUGAAUAGCUAAAGAGAAGUUAUCAAAGAAAAAAUGGAUAUUUUACUUAAUGUUAUCAGUUGCCCUGAUGUACCCUUUGCACAAUGCAUUAAUUAAACUUGUUGGAAGAUUUUAUGCAAUUGAAUCUUGUAUUUAUGUAUGUUUAUAAUGUAUGUGCUUUUGGAGGAUUCAUAAGCAUGAAGGGAAGAGGUCACUUGGGGUAGGGUAUCAAUGGUUGAUGCCGAGAAGAGGUUACUGGUUAGUGCUCUUGAAGAUCCUGACAACCAACACUUUGUUCUUCUUUCAGAGAGCUACUUGGAUACAGCAUGGAGAAGAUCUUGUGCCUAGGUGUAAUGUAAUCAAAGCUCUCAUUGCCAAAGGAUUGCUUGAAAGUGAACCCCCUUCGAUUCCAUGUGUCUUGGCAUAUACCAAUGAAGCCUUCUUAAAAAGGAUGUCCAGUCUCCACUAGACCUUGUAUCUAUUUAAAGCAAGCUGGAGAUGUGAGAGCACAUUGAACCAUCCAAUCCAUCAUCAAAACAUAAAGCAGAGUAGAAACUCUCUCGUGUCUAUGCAAACUUCAAGUAUGUCGAUGAGUUUUGGUCCUAAAAUUAUCCCUCGCACUAACAAAGUCACUCUCUAUCACAAGACCAAGCUUUCUCUUUUACCUCGCCCUUUGCUUCAAAACCAAACUCUUCCUCGAAAACCCACAAAACAAGAUUCGUUCUAUGUAAUGGCUACUAGUAACGAUCUUGAGAGUACUCGCCCCUUGGCUCAGUUUGCCCCCACUUUCUUAGGAGAUCACCAAUUCUCUGUUCCUGUCAAUGAUUAUGAAAUCGAUGCAAUUGAGCAUGAGAUUGAAUCAGUUAUGAAGCCGUGUGUAAGAGAUAUGCUCAUAUCUUUUCACACCUGUACCAAGGAUAAAAUUCGUCUCAUUCACUUGCUUAUCAGUCUAGCGAUUUCCCAUUAUUUCGAAAAUGAAAUUGAAGAGAUUCUAAACAAGGCUUUUGGGGAGCUGGAGAUAUUAACCGACAAUGAAGAUGAUCUUGAAACAAUCUCUAUUAUGUUUGAGGUUUUCAGAUUGUAUGGACACAAAAUGCCUUGUGAUGUGUUUAAAAGAUUCAAAGGGGAACAUGAUGGAAAGUUCAAGGAAAGUGUAGUUGGAGAUGUUAGAGGGAUGUUGCAGUUGUACCAAGCAUCAUAUCUCAAAACAAAAGAUGAGGAUAUAAUGGAGGAAGCACGGAGUUUCACUAGGACUCACUUAGCAGUGACUACUACUCAUCCACAUCUCUCUAAGCUCAUACAACAUGUAUUAUACAUACCUAGAUAUCGUUGCAUAGAGAUAGCAGUUGCAAGAGAAUACAUCUCUUUUUACAAAGAAGAAGAACAUCACGAGGAGAAGCUGCUCAAGUUUGCGAAACUCAACUUCAGCUAUUGCCAGCUGCAUUACAUCAAAAAGCUCAAAGCUCUCACUAAAUGGUGGAAGGAGAUAGAUCUUGCAUCUAAGCUGCCGUAUACCUUCCGGGACAGAAUUGCGGAGUACGGUUUGGGCAUGGUGGGUAUAUAUUUAGAGCCACGAUAUUCCCUAGCGAGAGUUAUAUGCACUCUAAUUUCCAUGAUCAUGACGGUUGUUGAUGACACAUAUGGAUGCAUAUGGUACUCUUCCUGAAGUCACAAGUUUCACUGACGCUUUGCAAAGGUGGGAUAUUGAAGCCAUAGAAGAUCUACCAAGUUAUGUGCAAAUCAUAUUCCGUAAUUUGUGGGAAAUUAUUCAAGAUAUCGAACGAGAAAUGAGUUCGCUGGGAAGACAUUGCGGUGUGAAGCCAACUAUUGAUGAGAUAAAGAGCCUGACGAAGGAAGGGUACUUAGAGAUAGCAAAAUGGGCACGAACAGGUCAUGUACCAAGCUUUGAGGAGUACAUGGAGGUCGGGGUCGUCACAGCCGCAAUGGAUGACAUGACACUCUACAUCUUUCUAGGUAUGGAAGACUGUGAUGAGAAGAUAAUGUACGAGUGGGUCGCAUCCAAACCCGAAUUCAUCCAUGCUUUUAAUGUUGUGCUUCGUCUGACGAACGACAUAGCCACUUUCGAGGAAGAGCUGAAGAGAGGGCCGGGGAAGUGGCAAAUGGAGUCAACUGUUACAUGAAACAAUAUGGUGUUACUCAAGAAGAAGCGGUUACAGAAUUAAAGAAGAUGAUUAAGGAUCACCAUGAGAUAAUGAUAGAAGAAUUCUUUAAAGCCUCAUCCACUGUACCACGCCAAAUCCUUGUGCGAGUCUUUUAAUCUUGCACGUGUGAUCUAUUUGUUCUACAAGGAGGGUGAUGGAUUUGGUCAUCCAGGUGAAAAUCUCAAAGACCAGUUCACAUCUUUGUUUACAUAAAUUUCGUAUACAGAUAUAUACGUGGUUUGAUUCUCAUGAA